GAUGAACGCUGGCGGCGUGCCUAAUACAUGCAAGUCGAGCGAACAGAUAAGGAGCUUGCUCCUCUGACGUUAGCGGCGGACGGGUGAGUAACACGUGGGUAACCUACCUAUAAGACUGGGAUAACUUCGGGAAACCGGAGCUAAUACCGGAUAACAUUUGGAACCGCAUGGUUCUAAAGUGAAAGAUGGUUUUGCUAUCACUUAUAGAUGGACCCGCGCCGUAUUAGCUAGUUGGUAAGGUAACGGCUUACCAAGGCAACGAUACGUAGCCGACCUGAGAGGGUGAUCGGCCACACUGGAACUGAGACACGGUCCAGACUCCUACGGGAGGCAGCAGUAGGGAAUCUUCCGCAAUGGGCGAAAGCCUGACGGAGCAACGCCGCGUGAGUGAUGAAGGGUUUCGGCUCGUAAAACUCUGUUAUUAGGGAAGAACAAACGUGUAAGUAACUAUGCACGUCUUGACGGUACCUAAUCAGAAAGCCACGGCUAACUACGUG
rnacentral:rRNA from 1 species